GACUUUCGUCUCCGAUGCUCUCAGAUUAGUAUGUUGAUCCUGGCUCAGAGUGAACGCUGGCGGUAGGCCUAACACAUGCAAGUCGAACGGCAGCACAGGAGAGCUUGCUCUCUGGGUGGCGAGUGGCGGACGGGUGAGGAAUACAUCGGAAUCUACUCUGUCGUGGGGGAUAACGUAGGGAAACUUACGCUAAUACCGCAUACGACCUACGGGUGAAAGCAGGGGAUCUUCGGACCUUGCGCGAUUGAAUGAGCCGACGUCGGAUUAGCUAGUUUGGCGGGGUAAAGGCCCACCAAGGCGACGAUCCGUAGCUGGUCUGAGAGGAUGAUCAGCCACACUGGAACUGAGACACGGUCCAGACUCCUACGGGAGGCAGCAGUGGGGAACUAUUGGACAAUGGGCGCAAGCCUGAUCCAGCCAUACCGCGUGGGGUUGAACGAAGGGCCUUCGGGGGUUGGUAAAAAGCGCCCUUUAGGGGGGAAAGGA
rnacentral:rRNA from 1 species